rnacentral:rRNA from 1 species
CAAGUCGAGCGAUAACCAGGGGCUUGCUCCUGGGGACAGCGGCGCACGGGUGAGUAACGCGUGGAUAACGUACCCUAAAGUUGGGAAUAACUCACCGAAAGGUGGGCUAAUACCGAAUAAGCUCUUUUAAAGUUCGCUUUUUAAGAGGAAAGCAGUAAUGCGCUUUUGGAUCGGUCCGCGUUCCAUCAGCUUGUUGGUGGGGUAAUGGCCUACCAAGGCUACGACGGAUAGCUGGUCUGAGAGGAUGAUCAGCUACACUGGAACUGAGACACGGUCCAGACUCCUACGGGAGGCAGCAGUGGGGAAUAUUGGUCAAUGGGCGAAAGCCUGAACCAGCAAUACCGCGUGAGUGAUGAAGGCCUUCGGGUUGUAAAGCUCUGUCAGUGGGAACGAAAAAAAUGACGGUACCCACAAAGGAAGCACCGGCUAACUCUGUGCCAGCAGGCGCGGUAAUACAGAGGGUGCAAGCGUUGUUCGAAAUUACUGGGCGUAAAGAGCGUGUAGGCGGUUAGAUAAGUCAGACGUGAAAUCCCUUGGCUCAACCAAGGAACUGCGUUUGAAACUGUUUAACUAGAGUAUCGGAGGGGAUGGCGGAAUUCCUGGUGUAGAGGUGAAAUUCGUAGAUAUCAGGAGGAACACCCGUGGCGAAGGCGGCCAUCUGGAAGAUUACUGACGCUGAGACGCGAAAGCGUGGGGAGCA